rnacentral:rRNA from 1 species
CCUACGGGAGGCUGCAGUAGGGAAUCUUCGGCAAUGGGGGCAACCCUGACCGAGCAACGCCGCGUGAGUGAAGAAGGUUUUCGGAUCGUAAAGCUCUGUUGUAAGUCAAGAACGGGUGUGAGAGUGGAAAGUUCACACUGUGACGGUAGCUUACCAGAAAGGGACGGCUAACUACGUGCCAGCAGCCGCGGUAAUACGUAGGUCCCGAGCGUUGUCCGGAUUUAUUGGGCGUAAAGCGAGCGCAGGCGGUUUGAUAAGUCUGAAGUUAAAGGCUGUGGCUCAACCAUAGUUCGCUUUGGAAACUGUCAAACUUGAGUGCAGAAGGGGAGAGUGGAAUUCCAUGUGUAGCGGUGAAAUGCGUAGAUAUAUGGAGGAACACCGGUGGCGAAAGCGGCUCUCUGGUCUGUAACUGACGCUGAGGCUCGAAAGCGUGGGGAGCGAACAGGAUUAGAUACCCUAGUAGUC